rnacentral:rRNA from 1 species
CACGUAGUUAGCCGUGGCUUUCUGGUUAGGUACCGUCACGGUACCGCCCUAUUCGAACGGUACUUGUUCUUCCCUAACAACAGAGCUUUACGAUCCGAAGACCUUCUUCGCUCACGCGGCGUUGCUCCGUCAGACUUUCGUCCAUUGCGGAAGAUUCCCUACUGCUGCCUCCCGUAGGAGUCUGGGCCGUGUCUCAGUCCCAGUGUGGCCGAUCACCCUCUCAGGUCGGCUACGCAUCGUCGCCUUGGUGAGCCGUUACCUCACCAACUAGCUAAUGCGCCGCGGGCCCAUCUGUAAGUGAUAGCCGAAGCCAUCUUUCCUGAUCUCUUCAUGCGAAGACAUCACCUAUCCGGUAUUAGCCCCGGUUUCCCGGAGUUAUCCCAGUCUUACAGGCAGGUUGCCCACGUGUUACUCACCCGUCCGCCGCUGAAUCAGAGGAGCAAGCUCCUCGUCAUCCGCUCGACUUGCAUGUAUUAGGCACGCCGCCAGCGUG